rnacentral:rRNA from 1 species
CAGUCGCCGCGGUAAAACGAAGGGUGCAAGCGUUAAUCGGAAUUACUGGGCGUAAAGCGUGCGUAGGCGGUUUGUUAAGUCUGCUGUGAAAUCCCCGGGCUCAACCUGGGAAUGGCAGUGGAUACUGGCAAGCUAGAGUGUGUCAGAGGAUGGUGGAAUUCCCGGUGUAGCGGUGAAAUGCGUAGAGAUCGGGAGGAACAUCAGUGGCGAAGGCGGCCAUCUGGGACAACACUGACGCUGAGGCACGAAAGCGUGGGGAGCAAACAGGAUUAGAUACCCCGGUAGUCCCUGUCUCUUAUAC